rnacentral:rRNA from 1 species
UGCAAGUCGAGCGGUAACAGAUCUAGCUUGCUAGAUGCUGACGAGCGGCGGACGGGUGAGUAAUGCAUAGGAAUCUGCCCGGUAGUGGGGGAUAACCUGGGGAAACCCAGGCUAAUACCGCAUACGUCCUACGGGAGAAAGGGGGCUCCGGCUCCCGCUAUUGGAUGAGCCUAUGUCGGAUUAGCUAGUUGGUGAGGUAAUGGCUCACCAAGGCAACGAUCCGUAGCUGGUCUGAGAGGAUGAUCAGCCACAUCGGGACUGAGACACGGCCCGAACUCCUACGGGAGGCAGCAGUGGGGAAUAUUGGACAAUGGGGGCAACCCUGAUCCAGCCAUGCCGCGUGUGUGAAGAAGGCCCUCGGGUUGUAAAGCACUUUCAGCGAGGAAGAACGCCUAGUGGUUAAUACCCAUUAGGAAAGACAUCACUCGCAGAAGAAGCACCGGCUAACUCCGUGCCAGCAGCCGCGGUAAUACGGAGGGUGCAAGCGUUAAUCGGAAUUACUGGGCGUAAAGCGCGCGUAGGUGGCUUGAUAAGCCGGUUGUGAAAGCCCCGGGCUCAACCUGGGAACGGCAUCCGGAACUGUCAGGCUAGAGUGCAGGAGAGGAAGGUAGAAUUCCCGGUGUAGCGGUGAAAUGCGUAGAGAUCGGGAGGAAUACCAGUGGCGAAGGCGGCCUUCUGGACUGACACUGACACUGAGGUGCGAAAGCGUGGGUAGCAAACAGGAUUAGAUACCCUGGUAGUCCACGCCGUAAACGAUGUCGACCAGCCGUUGGGUGCCUAGAGCACUUUGUGGCGAAGUUAACGCGAUAAGUCGACCGCCUGGGGAGUACGGCCGCAAGGUUAAAACUCAAAUGAAUUGACGGGGGCCCGCACAAGCGGUGGAGCAUGUGGUUUAAUUCGAUGCAACGCGAA